rnacentral:rRNA from 1 species
ACGAACGCUGGCGGCGUGCUUAACACAUGCAAGUCGAGCGGUGAGGCCCUUCGGGGUACACGAGCGGCGAACGGGUGAGUAACACGUGGGUGACCUGCCCUCCACUUCGGGAUAAGCCCGGGAAACUGGGUCUAAUACCGGAUAUGACCUUGAAGCGCAUGUUUCUUGGUGGAAAGUUUUUUCGGUGGGGGAUGGGCCCGCGGUCUAUCAGCUUGUUGGUGGGGUGAUGGCCUACCAAGGCGACGACGGAUAGCCGGCCUGAGAGGGUGAUCGGCCACACUGGGACUGAGACACGGCCCAGACUCCUACGGGAGGCAGCAGUGGGGAAUCUUGCGCAAUGGGCGGAAGCCUGACGCAGCAACGCCGCGUGAGGGAUGACGGCCUUCGGGUUGUAAACCUCUUUCGCGAUCGACGAAGCUCCAUCUUCUGGAUGGGGUGACGGUAGGUCGAGAAGAAGCACCGGCCAACUACGU